rnacentral:tRNA from 1 species
CAGAAAAUAGUUUAAUAAAAAUAUUAAUUUUGGAGAUUAAUGAUAGGAUAAUUUCUUUUUCUGA